rfam:Gossypium arboreum cultivar AKA8401 contig_36676_3, whole genome shotgun sequence.
AUUCCGUGAUGCGAGCACUUCCAUAAUAAUUCUUUAUACCUAUCUCAUACCUCAUACAAGGACUCAUCAUCCAUUUGUUGGAAAGUAGUGAUCUCGUUCCUCAACUU